ACUACACCCCUGUAAUGCAGAAUCAACCUGAGUCUCUCAUUCCUGGAGCGGUUUAUGAAAAGUGAAGAUCCAAGACCAGACUUCAGAGUGAAUAGGAACUCUCCUGCAGUCCUCCUGAACCUCCUUGAUCAGGAUUGGGGAUGUGGGUGGGGGGCUGUCAUUGAGACUUUGAUGUUUCUCUUCUGUCUGGUGAGCGGAGCAUCCUACAGGGUGGUCUCAAGAGUGUUUGGGAUGUCUCCUUUCACUAUCCACUGUAUCGUCCACAGUCACUGAGGAGGUGGUGGCCAUUCACCAUAAGGUCCUUCACCUUCCAAAAACCCCUGAGGACCUGGAGGUGGUGUCCUGUGGGUUUGCAGGGCUGACACGGCACAGAGUUUCAGGUGCAUCGAUGGAUUCCACAUCAGGAUCAAACCUCCUAGUGACCCUGACGGUCACUGCUACAGAAACAGAAAACUCUUCCCCUCCAUCAUCCUGCAGGCUGUGUGACCAUCGGGGCUGCUUCAUUCACACCCAUGUGGACUGGCCCGGGUCGGUGCAUGACUCCAGGGUGCUCCGCCACAGUCCACUGUACAGGCAGUCGGUCGACCCUCCUCCGGGGCACUUCAUCCUUGCAGAUGGUGGAUACCUGUGCCUCCAACGCCCACUCCCCCUCAUCACUCCCUACAAACGGAUGAAUGAAGGUGUUGCAGAACAGCGCUUCAACAGUCAUCAUUCCAAAAGCACGCUCGAUUAUAGAGUUUGCUUUUGGAAUGAUGAAGACAAGAUUCAGAGCAAUCUUUCUGCAAGAGCUGGAGAUGCAUCACACCUUUGUACCUCACGUUGUCACAGUUUGCGCCAUCCUCCAUAACAUCUGCCUUUGUGCUGGUGACACUGUGGCCCCAGAGGAUGACCUGGAGGAAGAUGUGGGAGAUGAUGAGGGGGAGCCUGGCUCAGCGGGGUCUCUGGCAGGACCAACUGUCUGCUGAGGUUUCUACCCUGGAGGAGGAACCACCAGAUCAUGAUUACUGAUAACAGGUAAUUAAAUAAGAAAGUUAUUGAUUAAAAGUUUUUUUUGUUUGUUUUAGAAAAGUAUUAAGAUUUCUCAUGAAUAAUCUCAUAUUUAUGUAUUAAUGGAUCAUUUUUGGUCAUGCAGCAUCCGUCGACAGCCAGCCCUGCAAACCCUGAAGAUGGACGAUGCAGUGGACAGUUAAGAGGCAUCCUGAAACUCUGCAGACCACCCUGCAGGAUGUUCCUAUCACCACCCAGAAAGGUCCAGUCCCGGGUCUCAGUUGAAGCCCCCCCAUCCAUGUUGACCAUCUUUGUAAAUAGUUAUAAAUAAAAG
rnacentral:lncRNA from 1 species